GAUGAAGAACGCAGCGAAAUGCGAUAAGUAAUGUGAAUUGCAGAAUUCAGUGAAUCAUCGAAUCUUUGAACGCACAUUGCGCCCGCCAGUAUUCUGGCGGGCAUGCCUGUCCGAGCGUCAUUUCAACCCUCGCGCCCAUCUGGGCUGCGGUGUUGGGGACCGGCCUGCCCCCCCGGGGCGCGCCGCCCCCCAAAUUCAGUGGCGGUCUCGCUGCAGCCUCCCUUGCGUAGUAGCACACCUCGCACCGGAGCGCAGCGCGGCCACGCCGUAAAACCCCCGACCCCCAUGAGUUUGACCUCGGAUCAGGUAGGAAUACCCGCUGAACUUAAGCAUAUCAAUAAGCGGAGGA
rnacentral:misc_RNA from 1 species